UUAGGAGAUUUUCUGGCUACGUCCCUAAUCCCGCUUCAAAGACCUACCCCAGAUCUCCCAAAGACUCCCAGAUCUUGAUGGAUUCAUCUGUUUUGUUUGACCUUGAGAGAAGUAUCUGGAGAGACGAUUUCCAGCUUCUUUUCUUAAACAGCCUAGCGAUCUCAGGCCAGAUAGCUACUGCUGCACUUUCUUUAGAUCAUUCCUGGCUGGGAGGGUUCCAAGAGUGGCCUAAGGCCAUCUGCCCACAGGCGCGGGCAUGAUGAAGUCCGUCCUAGCUCAGGAAUCACCAGGGAAUCUCUUGACCUGUUGGCUAUGUCUGAGAUCUUUUAUAGCUCUCUGUGUGAGUUUUCCUUCUCACUUCAUGGCCCAGCCAGCCUCCAGGCCCUUCCUGGAGGAGGUACCAGGGAGCCUGGACCAGAUUCAACUCAGAGAUCAGAGCUGAAACAACUCGAAAGGUCACUGUGCCCAGCCACAGGCCCUCCUACCCAUGAGGCCCAUGAAGGCCACGCCGACCUCCUUCUGACUCCCUGAACAUAGAUUUGCUCUUGCCUCAGGGCCUUUGCACAUGCUCUGCUGUUUGCUGGAACAAAGAAAGCUUUCCCGACCACCCUAUCCCAAAUGGCCUGCGCCCACUGCUCUCUGUUCAACCUUGUUUCAGCAUCGUUUAAGGACUGUCAGCCAAACUGCAUGUCAUCACAGGAAGUGAAAACUCCAGCAGCUCAAUUGUAGGUUUCUAGGACUCCCAAAGGAGGGGCCACGCCUCAGUUGGCAUCAGUCGCCAUGGCAACCAGCAUGCACCCGGCAGCCCCUCUGGAAUACCUGGCUUACUCCAGGUUUUAAGAGACACAGCACAAGAUACACACUAAUCCUGUAGACAGAGAAUGGAAUUUUGAGAGCCAAGGAUGCUCUCAAAUUAGCCUCUUCCAUCACAGCAGCUCCUGGAGUCUGAUUCUACACACACCUUUCCUUCCUUGCUUCUCAUUUUCUUUUUUGUGGUGCAUGUGUCUUACCACGCUCCUCUCCUCACCGAUCCCAUACAGGCACCUACGUCUGUGACCCAACCAGAACAGGCUGGAAGUGUCACUCAGUGCCGCUAGGAGUUGCUGCGCUCAAUAAUGAGUGGGAGCUGAAAAAUAAAUAAGCAAGCUUCUUUGGCCCACGUGGGGUCACCAACCUCCUAGAAAUCUCCAAGCCUCAGGUGCCAUGGCAAUCACCUGUGUAUGCCCCACCUUCCUUCUCAUGCCCAGGCCAUCCCUGCUUCAGAUCUGCUCACUCCGCAGGUGCCCAUCUGUCCACUUUAAUGUGUCAUCGAAGAUGGGAGAUGUGUGCUGGAAAAUCUUCAGUGAUGGUGCUAAGAUGUAGGACUUUUAAGGUGCAACUAGAUCAUGACAGCGUAGAUUCAUGGUUAGUUAUGGUGGGGGCAGGUUCCUGAUAAAGCAUGAGUUAAGCCCCCUCUCUCAUGUAUGUUCUCCUGACCCUCCACUUUCCCCCCACAGAAGGUCCUGAGCAGACUGACCCCUCAGUCUCGGACACCCAUC